rnacentral:rRNA from 1 species
CGCCUCCCAAAAGGUAACGGAGGCGCUCAAAGGUUCUCUCAGUACGGUCGGAAAUCGUACGUAGAGUGUAAAGGCAAAAGAGAGCUUGAUUGCAAGACAUACAGGUCGAGCAAGGAUGAAAAUCGGACUUAGUGAUCCGGUGGUUCUGCGUGGAAGGGCCAUCGCUCAACGGAUAAAAGCUACCCUGGGGAUAACAGGCUUAUCUCCCCCAAGAGUCCACAUCGACGGGGAGGUUUGGCACCUCGAUGUCGGCUCAUCACAUCCUGGGGCUGUAGUAGGUCCCAAGGGUUGGGCUGUUCGCCCAUUAAAGUGGUACGCGAGCUGGGUUCAGAACGUCGUGAGACAGUUCGGUCCCUAUCCGUCGCAGGCGUAGGAAAUUUGAGAAGACCUGUCCUUAGUACGAGAGGACCGGGAUGGACGUACCUCUGGUGUACCAGUUGU